CACUUGACCGGUUCAAUGACUGGUCCGGUUCUCGCAACCUUGGUCACAGUAACAGUGUGUGUGCCAGAUGCCAAAACAACCUCACCUACGCGAUACUGCAACGGAUUUCCCCGAAUUCUGACACAGGUUCAUCGUUCCCUCAAAUUCCGUAUUCAAUUGAUCCGAAAAAUGGAAGUUUUGCUGCCAAAACUUCCAUCUUUCAAGUUCUCAAGCCCCAUUUGUUGCUGUUCAAUAAGCACUAGGAGCUCUUCGUAUGUGAAAUUCGGAUUCCGUCGAUUUUCUUCUCUAUCUGUUUGUGCAUCAACCGUUAAUGAAGCUGUAGCUGAACCAUCCCUUGGUUCCCCUUCUUUGGGGCACACCACAAGACCCCAUUUUCCUAUACUUCACCAGGAAGUAAAUGGCUCAAAACUUGUUUACUUAGACAAUGCAGCAACUUCUCAGAAGCCUACCGUUGUUUUGAAGACACUGCAAAGCUACUACGAAGCAUACAAUUCGAAUGUACAUCGGGGCAUACAUUUCUUGAGUGCAAAGGCCACGGAUCAGUAUGAAGCAGCUAGAAGGAAGGUUGCAAGUUUUAUAAAUGCUUCUGACUCCAGUGAAAUUGUAUUUACGAGAAAUGCUACUGAAGCUAUCAAUCUAGUGGCUUAUUCUUGGGGCUUGUCAAAUUUAAAAAGAGAUGAUGAGAUUAUACUUACGGUUGCUGAACAUCACAGUGCGAUUGUUCCUUGGCAACUACUAGCUCAAAAAGUUGGGGCUGUUUUGAAAUUUGUGAACUUAAACCAAUAUGAAAUUCCAGAUAUGGACAAAUUGAAAGAACUGCUGUCAAGGAAAACCAAGUUAGUUGUUGUCCAUCAUGUUUCAAAUGUGCUUGCUUCGGUACUUCCUGUUAGAGAUAUUGCUAACUGGGCUCAUGAUGUUGGAGCAAAAGUGCUUGUAGAUGCCUGUCAGAGUGUUCCACACAUGACAGUUGAUGUUCACAGCCUCAAUGUUGAUUUUCUUGUUGCUUCUUCUCACAAGAUGUGUGGGCCUACAGGUGUUGGAUUCUUAUAUGGUAAAAUAGACCUCUUGUCGUCCAUGCCUCCCUUUUUGGGUGGUGGUGAAAUGAUUUCAGAUGUAUUUCUUGAUCACUCAACUUAUGCUGAACCUCCAUCCAGAUUUGAGGCCGGAACACCAGCAAUUGGGGAAGCAAUUGGUUUAGGAGCAGCAAUUGAUUACUUAUCUGGGAUUGGUAUGCAAACCAUACAUGAUUAUGAGGUGGAGCUGGGAAGAUAUCUUUAUGAAAGGCUCCUUUCAAUCCCAAAUAUUCGCAUCUAUGGGCCGGCACCUUCAGAAAAAAUUAAACGAGCUGCACUUUGUUCUUUCAAUGUUGAAAAUAUUCACGCUACCGAUCUUGCAACAUUUCUUGAUCAACAGGUAAGAGGAUAAAAUGACCAUCCCCAGUCCCCACACGCAAAGUUCUCCAAGAACCAUUUUUUUCAAGAAAGAAGCUAUAGAUACCAAUCAUGAUGAUCAUUUGCAAUUCAUGGAGUGGCUAUAAGAUCGGGUCACCAUUGCGCCCAACCCCUCCAUCGGUACUUGGGAGUCAAUGCAAGUGCACGUGCAAGUCUCUAUUUCUAUAACACUAAGGAGGAUGUUGACAAUUUUAUCCAGGCCCUCAAUGACACAGUCAACUUCUUCAGUUCAUUCAAGUAAUCAGAAUGUAAUAUUAUGUAAAUCAAUUUUUCUUUUUGUAUGUCAUCUCACUGUUAGGUCAAUUGGUAGGGACGUGCUAUCUCAAUGUUCUUGAAUUAAAUUCCUUCUAAUGAUCUUAGUGGUGGAGGCGUCUUGUAAAUUUUGGGUUUCAUUGUCUAAAUUGUGGAACACCACCACAUCAACCUCCUAAACUUAUAUGUAUAAUUAAAUUGAUGCUGAAUUUCUGUAUCGAAACAAAAGAGUGAUGCUUAGGCAUUGUUUUAUACCAAGUCAAUAUUUAAAAUCAGUUGUAG